rnacentral:rRNA from 1 species
UAAGGAAUAUUGGUCAAUGGACGCAAGUCUGAACCAGCCAUGCCGCGUGAAGGAUGAAGGUCCUCUGGAUUGUAAACUUCUUUUAUCUGGGACGAAAACGGGAUUUUUAUCUCAAUUGACGGUACCAGAGGAAUAAGCACCGGCUAACUCCGUGCCAGCAGCCGCGGUAAUACGGAGGGUGCGAGCGUUAUCCGGAUUUACUGGGUUUAAAGGGUGCGUAGGUGGGCUUAUAAGUCAGUGGUGAAAUCUCCGAGCUUAACUUGGAAACUGCCGUUGAUACUAUAGGUCUUGAAUUAUCUGGAGGUAAGCGGAAUAUGUCAUGUAGCGGUGAAAUGCUUAGAUAUGACAUAGAACACCAAUUGCGAAGGCAGCUUACUACAUAUAAAUUGACGCUGAGGCACGAAAGCGUGG